ensembl:lncRNA
CCCGGAAGUUGACGGUGGCAGUUCUAGCUCCAUGCGUUUGAACUUUCUACUAAAACUUUCUACUGUCCGUUUCUACCGGUUGUCGUAUUCGCCGGUAAUGCACGUGCGUAUUAUUAGAGGGGUAUUCCACUAAGCGAGCUCUACAAGUCAAGACUGGGCAGUGGGUCCAUGAAUAAACUGCCUCACUCCUGCAGGUGUCUGUCCAUACUUCCCAUCGUUCAAGAACCAAAAGAUGGCUGCUGCCCAGAAGCAUGUGCUGCAUGUGUAUGUUGAGCGAGACACCGCCCUGAAACUUACUCUACUUGAGCGACCAAAGUCAGUGGAGGAGCUGAAAGAAAUAAUUCAAGAGAGGUUCAAGCCAAGACUGAAUGGGGACUUUAGCCUUCACUAUGUCCUCAUGGACACAACCUAUGCCCUAUGUCGCCAAGAAAU